rnacentral:misc_RNA from 1 species
GGAACACAUGCCAUACAUCUCCAGUUUUAUUAGCUAGAGGAUCCAGGAAAAUUUGCUCGGUCACUCUCUUUUCAGGUAAAUCGGAAAGAGUGAUCAAGCAAAGAGUAGCAGCAGUAGCAUUCCUCGAAAAAACAGCGAAAUUCACACCACCAUCUGUCGCAGUAGCACCAAACGGCAAUGGCUUCCCUGACAAAACCUCAAAACGACAUCGUUCCGUAGUGGAUUUCUCCACAACCACCGCACUCGCCGCAGUCUUCGCCGCAAGUCUAUGAACAGCAGCAUUAACCACUGAUUUUCUCCGAAUAGUCUCAAAAUCUACAGGUUUACUGUUUCUCCUGGAGAAGAGAUGGUUUUGGUAAUUGAGUUUAGGUUUGUAGGUAGAAAUGGAAGGAGAAUGAAGCAACUCCAUGGAAGAAGAGAGUGUG